rnacentral:ncRNA from 52 species
UAAAGUGCUUAUAGUGCAGGUAG